GAGAGUUAAAUAGUACGUGAAAUUGUUGAAAGGGAAACGAUUGAAGUCAGUCAUGCUAGUGAAAAAUCAGUUUAACGGGUUUUGAGUUUGGGAGUAGAGGCAGGGUCAAACCGUUUCUCUUUUGAACUUGGGAUUUGUUAGAUGUACUUUUUCUUUGGCAGGUCAGCGUCGAUUUCGGAGGUUGUAAAAUACUUGGGGGAAAGUAGCUCUGCUUCGGGAGAGUAUUAUAGACCCUGGGGGAUGCAGCCUGCGGGAUCGAGGAUUGCAGCAAAUGCCUUUGGCUUGUCGCCUGAUCUCUGGAUGUUACCUCGCUUGUGACAACAUUCUUGCCACCUGUGGGUACUAAUGCCCAUUAGGUUAGAGCGAUCAAAAAUUUUGCUAAGGAUGCUGACGUAAUGGCUUUAAACGA
rnacentral:rRNA from 1 species